CGGUAAUUCCAGCUCCAGAAGCGUAUAUUAAAGUUGUUGCGGUUAAAACGCUCGUAGUUGAAUAUAUGCCUAGUACAGGUGGUCUACCCUCGAUUGGUAGCACGCGCUUCGUGCUUGGCACACUUCUGAAAUCUUUUUCCCCACUUCAUUGUGCGGGACUUAAUUCAGAUACAUUACUUUGAGGAAAUGAGGGUGCUCUAUGCAGAUAUAUGUCAUGGAUACGUUAGCAUGGAAUAGCAUUACAGAAUAUUAUUCUGAAGCUGCUGGUUUUUUGGAAUAGUAUAAUGGCAAGAGGAACAGUUGGGGGCAUUUAUAUUUAACUGUUAGAGGUGAAAUUCUUGAAUCUUUUAAAGAUGAACUACUGCGAAAGCAUCUGCCCAGGAUGUUUUUAUUAAUCAAGAACGAAAGUUAGGGGAUCGAAGAUGAUCAGAUACCGUCCUAGUCUUAACCUUAAACUAUGCCGGCCAGAAAUUGGGGCCGUCCGAGUUUGGAUGCCUUCAGAGACUUGAGAGAAAUCAAAGCCUUUGGGUUCCGGGGGGAGUAUGGUCGCAAGUCUGAAACUUAAAGGAAUUGACGGAAGGGCACCACCGGGAGUGGAGCUUGCGGCUUAAUUUGACUCAACACGGGAAAACUCACCAGGUCCAGACAUAGGGAGGAUUGACAGACUAAUAGCUCUUUCUUGAUUCUAUGGGUGGUGGUGCAUGGCCGUUCUUAGUUGGUGGAGUGAUUUGUCUUGUUAAUUCCGUUAACGAACGAGACUUUAACCUGCUAAAUAGGGCGCAGGGAUGUCCUUAUUCUUGCGCGCUUCUUAGAGGGACUUUUUGCGACUAGCAUCAGGAGGUUUGAAGCAAUAACAGGUCUGUGAUGCCCUUAGAUGUCUUGGGCUGCACGCGUGCUACACUGAUGGGUUCAACAAGUUCCUAACCUUCUCCGGAGGGAGUGGGUAAUCUUGCGAAAUCCCAUCGUGAUGGGGAUAAAUGAUUGCAAUUAUUCAUUUUGAACGAGGAAUUCCUAGUAAGCGCAAAUCAACAGUUUGCGCUGAUUACGUCCCUGCUCCUUGUACACACCGCCC
rnacentral:rRNA from 1 species